rnacentral:rRNA from 1 species
UACGGAGGGUGCAAGCGUUGUCCGGAAUCACUGGGCGUAAAGGGCGCGUAGGCGGCUCAUGAAGGCUGUGGUGAAAGUCCGGGGCUCAACCUCGGAUCGGCCGUGGCGACUCGUGGGCUGGAGCACUGUAGAGGCGGGUGGAAUUCCGGGUGUAGCGGUGGAAUGCGUAGAGAUCCGGAAGAACACCGGUGGCGAAGGCGGUUGGCUGGGCCACACCUGACACUGAGGCGCGACAGCGUGGGGAGCAAACAGG